UACGGAGGGUGCAAGCGUUAUCCGGAUUUACUGGGUUUAAAGGGCGCGUAGGCGGUCGUGACAAGUCACUUGUGAAAUCUCCGGGCUUAACUCGGAACGGUCAAGUGAUACUGUCGGACUAGAGUACAGAAGGGGCAACUGGAAUUCUCGGUGUAGCGGUGAAAUGCGUAGAUAUCGAGAGGAACACCUGCGGCGAAGGCGGGUUGCUGGGCUGAUACUGACGCUGAGGAGCGAAAGCGUGGGGAGCGAACAGG
rnacentral:rRNA from 1 species